CGUAGGAUGCAAGCGUUAUCCGGAAUCACUGGGCGUAAAGAGUCGUGUAGGCGGUUUACCACAUCGUGCUUGAAAGCCCGAGGCUUAACCUCGGCGUUGGGCACGAGAUGGGUAGACUUGAGGGUAUGAGAGGGAAGGGGAACUCAUGGUGAAGCAGUGAAAUGCGUUGAUAUCAUGAGGAACACCGAAGGCGAAGGCACCUUCCUGGAAUACUCCUGACGCUGAGACACGAAAGCUAGGGGAGCGAAGCAGAUUAGAGACCUGCGUAGUCCUAGCCCUAAACGCAUGCCUGCUAGAUGCCGGCCGCAAGGUCGGUGUCGUAAGCUAACGCGUUAAGCAGGCCGCCUGGGGAGUACGAUCGCAAGAUUA
rnacentral:rRNA from 1 species